rnacentral:rRNA from 1 species
GACGGGCGGGGAUUGGGGGGGGCAGGGACGUAAUCAACGCAUGCUGAUGACAUGCGCUUACUAGGCAUUCCUCGUUGAAGAGCAAUAAUUGCAAUGCUCUAUCCCCAGCACGACAGAGUUUAACAAGAUUACCCAAACCUUUCGGCUAAGGAAAUGAACUCGUUGCCUCUGUCAGUGUAGCGCGCGUGGGUAUCAGAACAUCUAAGGGCAUCACAGACCUGUUAUUGCCUCAAACUUCCAUCGGCUUGAGACAAUAGUCCCUCUAAGAAGCCAGCGACCCGCCAAAGAUGUUUUGGUUGUUUAGCUGUUUAAGUUCACUUGCGUAAGCGCGAAGGAUCAGAUUUAUCACUGGACGGAACGAAGGACCGGCCAUGCCGCCACCGCACACAAAACUAAUCAAGGAGCUCACAAUCAGGGAACCCGAAUUGAGUAAGGACCGUGAUGGAUCCUCAACGUGAAGAGAUAUAAUCCGGCCCAGGGGACCGCCCGUUGGUAUAUAUCUUCGCGAGACUUCUCUCGAGAAUCACACUGCUCCCCUUCCCUCCCCGUUGGAUGUCAUAUAGUUUGAUGAACUCAUAGAAAUAGACCGUCGGACCAACACUAGCCGGGUAUACUUGGCUUUUUAUUUUUACUUGUAUUUGGGAGAUCUUCUCGGGGCUCCUACUCGAUAUCAGUUUUUCAAAUGUAAGGUUCUUUUUUUAAAUUUUAUCGCGAUAGAGCGACGCCGCGCCAUCCUAAGUUGGACCACUACGCAGUAUAGAUUGAUUAUGCGAACGCGACAUGCAAUCUUUUAAAUCUCCCCGGGAUUGGUUUGUGAAUAUUUAAUGCGGUAUACCAGCCCCUUUUCUGA